rnacentral:rRNA from 1 species
UGUAAGCGUAUACCAAAGUUGUUGCAGUUAAAACGCUCGUAGUCGGAAUUUGGCAGUUCCGGAUGUGUGCACGUCGUGUGCGCACUUCGCGGGGAUUGCUUUUGUGGUCUUGCGUAGGAUGAGGCACUUUUAUUAGUGAACGUCCUCACGCAACCACUUUUUACUGUGAGAAAAUCAGAGUGCUCAAAGCAGGCAUUUGCCGUGAAUGUAUUAGCAUGGAAUAAUAGAAUAGGACUUGGUUCUAUUUUGUUGGUUUGUUGGGACUGAGUAAUGAUUAAGAGGGACAGUUGGGGGCAUUUGUAUUUCGGUGCUAGAGGUGAAAUUCUUAGAUUACCGAAAGACAAACUGCUGCGAAAGCGUCUGCCAAGGAUGUCUUCAUUGA